UGACGGAUCUCUCUUUAUUUUGUGGCCACAAACAUAAAAUGAAAAAAAAAAAAGACCUUACCAUUCGAAAUUCAACGAUCUUCUACUUAGGGCAAAUAUGGUGUGAGCUACCCAUGAAAAGGAAAUGCAAACAAAAAAGGAAAGAAAUAAGGAGGAAAGCAAAGCAUUCAGGUUCAACCGAAACGGCAUGGUCAAUUUGGUAAUGAAGAUUCAAAGAGGCAGAAGGAUUAUCUUUUUUUGAUAAAAUUAAGAAAAAGAAAGUAGAGAGAGAGAGAAGAUAUUUUGCUUUUUUUUUUUCGGUGAUCUCGUAGUUCCUACGGGGUGGAGACGAUGGGGUCAAAACGUAUAUUAUGCCAAUGGGUUUCAGCUUCGGCUGUUGUGGCCUGCGUGACAUUCGAAAGAG
rnacentral:lncRNA from 1 species